UACGGAGGGUGCGAGCGUUGUCCGGAAUCACUGGGCGUAAAGGGCGCGUAGGCGGCGCGGGCAGUCAACGGUGAAAGCUUGGGGCUCAACCCCGAGUCGGCCGUCGAUACUCCCGUGCUUGAGCACUGUAGAGGCAGGUGGAAUUCCGGGUGUAGCGGUGGAAUGCGUAGAGAUCCGGAAGAACACCGGUGGCGAAGGCGGCCUGCUGGGCUGUGGCUGACGCUGAGGCGCGACAGCGUGGGGAGCAAACAGG
rnacentral:rRNA from 1 species